GAUAUCAACUUUCGAUGGUAGGAUAGAGGCCUACCAUGGUGGUAACGGGUAACGGGGUGUUAGGGCACGACACCGGGAGAGGGAGCUGAGAAACGGCCACCACAUCCAAGGAUGGCAGCAGGCGCGCAAAUUACCCAAUCCCGACACGGGGAGGUAGUGACAAUAAAUAACAAUACGGGGUUCUUUCGGAUUUCGUAAUUGGAAUGAGUACAAUUUAAAUCUCUUAACGAGGAACAAUUGGAGGGCAAGUCUGGUGCCAGCAGCCGCGGUAAUUCCAGCUCCAAUAGCGUAUAUUAAAGUUGCUGCAGUUAAAAAGCUCGUAGUUGAAUUUCGGGACUAAUAUGUCGGUCGUGCCUAGGUACGUACUGGCUUAUUGGUUUCUCCUUUCUGAAGAACCAUGAUGUCAUUUAUUUGGUGUCGUGGGGAAUCAGGACUGUUACUUUGAAAAAAUUAGAGUGUUUAAAGCAGGCUCACGCUUGAAUACAUUAGCAUGGAAUAAUGAAAUAGGACGUUUGAUUCUAUUUUGUUGGUUUCUAGGAUCGACGUAAUGAUUAAUAGGGAUAGUUGGGGGCAUUAGUAUUCAAUUGUCAGAGGUGAAAUUCUUGGAUUUAUUGAAGACUAACUACUGCGAAAGCAUUUGCCAAGGAUGUUUUCAUCAAUCAAGAACGAAAGUUAGGGGAUCGAAGACGAUCAGAUACCGUCGUAGUCUUAACCAUAAACCAUGCCGACUAGGGAUCGGAUGAUGUUAAUUUUUUAAUGACUCAUUCGGCGCCUUACGGGAAACCAAAGUGUUUGGGUU
rnacentral:rRNA from 1 species